rnacentral:tRNA from 1 species
CCGCCACUAGCUCAGCAGGAUAGAGCUGCAGCCUUCUAAUCUGUUGGUGCGAGGUUCGAAUCCCCGGGGGCGGACCA